UACGUAGGGUGCGAGCGUUUAAUCGGAAUUACUGGGCGUAAAGCGUGCGCAGGCGGUGAGCUGUGUCCGAUGUGAAAGCCCCGGGCUUAACCUGGGAAUGGCAUUGGAAACUGGCUCGCUGGAGUGUGGCAGAGGGGGGUGGAAUUCCGCGUGUAGCAGUGAAAUGCGUAGAGAUGCGGAGGAACACCGAUGGCGAAGGCAGCCCCCCUGGGCUAACACUGACGCUCAGGCACGAAAGCGUGGGGAGCAAACAGG
rnacentral:rRNA from 1 species